rnacentral:rRNA from 1 species
CCUACGGGCGGCUGCAGUGGGGAAUAUUGGACAAUGGGGGGAACCCUGAUCCAGCCAUGCCGCGUGUGUGAAGAAGGCCCUCGGGUUGUAAAGCACUUUCAGUGAGGAAGAACGCCUGGUGGUUAAUACCCAUCAGGAAAGACAUCACUCACAGAAGAAGCACCGGCUAAACUCCGUGCCAGCAGCCGCGGUAAUACGGAGGGUGCGAGCGUUAAUCGGAAUUACUGGGCGUAAAGCGCGCGUAGGUGGCUUGAUAAGCCGGUUGUGAAAGCCCCGGGCUCAACCUGGGAACGGCAUCCGGAACUGUCAAGCUAGAGUGCAGGAGAGGAAGGUAGAAUUCCCGGUGUAGCGGUGAAAUGCGUAGAGAUCGGGAGGAAUACCAGUGGCGAAGGCGGCCUUCUGGACUGACACUGACACUGAGGUGCGAAAGCGUGGGUAGCAAACAGGAUUAGAUACCCUGGUAGUC